AUGGUGGUCUACACGCAGGAGCACGUCUACCAGCACCCGUGGGACCGCGUGACGGCGGCGGCGUGGCGCAAGUUCACGGACCCGGCCUCCCGCACGGCGCUCUCCCACGUCGCCGACGUGCACACCCUGCAGCGCCGCGUCGACACGGACGCCGGCCGCCUCCACGCCGCGCGCUCCAUCACCGUCCGCUCCCCGCCGCUCCCCUUCAUCCUGCGCCGCCUCCUCCCGGCCGCCGCCGCCUCCCCCUCGGGCGCCGCGAUCUGCCACUGCGUCGAGACCUCCGUCGUCGACGCCCCACGCCGCGCCAUGGACAUCGUCGUCCGCAACGUCAGCCUCCGCGGGAUCAUCGAGGUCGAGGAGCGAUCCACCUUCCGCCCCCACCCGGACCGCCCCGACGACUGGACGCAGUUCAGGCAGGAGACCACGAUCCGGUGCCGCCCGCUCGCCAAGCUCGCCGCCGUCGCCGAGAAGGUCGAGACCCGCUGCGCCGAGAGGUUCCUGCAGAACAGCGCCAAGGGGAGGGAGGUCGUCGAGCGGAUCUGCCGCUACCUCGAGGCCGAGGCCGCCGGCGCCGCGCCUUCCGCCGUCUGA
rnacentral:rRNA from 1 species